rnacentral:rRNA from 1 species
UGGGGAAUAUUGGACAAUGGGCGAAAGCCUGAUCCAGCCAUGCCGCGUGUGUGAAGAAGGUCUUCGGAUUGUAAAGCACUUUAAGUUGGGAGGAAGGGCAUUGACCUAAUACGUUAGUGUUUUGACGUUACCGACAGAAUAAGCACCGGCUAACUCUGUGCCAGCAGCCGCGGUAAUACAGAGGGUGCAAGCGUUAAUCGGAAUUACUGGGCGUAAAGCGCGCGUAGGUGGUUUGUUAAGUUGGAUGUGAAAUCCCCGGGCUCAACCUGGGAACUGCAUUCAAAACUGACUGACUAGAGUAUGGUAGAGGGUGGUGGAAUUUCCUGUGUAGCGGUGAAAUGCGUAGAUAUAGGAAGGAACACCAGUGGCGAAGGCGACCACCUGGACUAAUACUGACACUGAGGUGCGAAAGCGUGGGGAGCAAACA